rnacentral:misc_RNA from 1 species
GUAUAGGUUUAAUGACUGCAAGCAGUCGUUAAAAGACAUUCUGUAACUUUAUAGGGUAUAUGAAAACAUAGUCUUGAAGAAGCGGGGGAAGGGUUAACAACCCCCAAGGCUUGCACAAAGGCAACGAGAGAAGGGUUAGCAUCUCCCAGCCCGCAACAAAUAAAUGCGCGGAGUUCUUCAAGACUACAAAAUGUGCACAAGAGAAGAUAAAUAAGAUGGACGAGCACAUGCCCAGUGAAGAGCCAGCAUCAGUACCAAUCGUAUUCAAUAAUGAUCCUUCCGCAGGUUCACCUACGGAAA